rnacentral:rRNA from 1 species
GAUGAACGCUGGCGGCGUGCUUAACACAUGCAAGUCGAACGGGAAUUAUUUUAUUGAAACUUCGGUCGAUUUAAUUUAAUUCUAGUGGCGGACGGGUGAGUAACGCGUGGGUAACCUGCCUUAUACAGGGGGAUAACAGUCAGAAAUGGCUGCUAAUACCGCAUAAGCGCACAGAGCUGCAUGGCUCAGUGUGAAAAACUCCGGUGGUAUAAGAUGGACCCGCGUUGGAUUAGCUUGUUGGCAGGGUAACGGCCUACCAAGGCGACGAUCCAUAGCCGGCCUGAGAGGGUGAACGGCCACAUUGGGACUGAGACACGGCCCAGACUCCUACGGGAGGCAGCAGUGGGGAAUAUUGCACAAUGGGGGAAACCCUGAUGCAGCGACGCCGCGGGAAGGAAGAAGUAUCUCGGUAUGUAAACUUCUAUCAGCAGGGAAGAUAGUGACGGUACCUGACUAAGAAGCCCCGGCUAACUACGU